rnacentral:rRNA from 1 species
GGAGUAACGCGUGGAUAACCUGCCUCACACAGGGGAGUAACAGUUAGAAAUGACUGCUAAUACCGCAUAAGCGCACAGUACCGCAUGGUACAGUGUGAAAAACUCCGGUGGUGUGAGAUGGAUCCGCGUCUGAUUAGGUAGUUGGUGGGGUAACGGCCCACCAAGCCGACGAUCAGUAGCCGACCUGAGAGGGUGACCGGCCACAUUGGGACUGAGACACGGCCCAA